UACGGAGGGGGCUAGCGUUGUUCGGAAUUACUGGGCGUAAAGCGCACGUAGGCGGCUUUGUAAGUUAGAGGUGAAAGCCCGGGGCUCAACUCCGGAACUGCCUUUAAGACUGCAUCGCUUGAACAUCGGAGAGGUAAGUGGAAUUCCGAGUGUAGAGGUGAAAUUCGUAGAUGUUCGGAAGAACACCAGUGGCGAAGGCGACUUACUGGACGAUUGUUGACGCUGAGGUGCGAAAGCGUGGGGAGCAAACAGG
rnacentral:rRNA from 1 species